rnacentral:misc_RNA from 1 species
GAUGAAGAACGCAGCGAAAUGCGAUACUUGGUGUGAAUUGCAGAAUCCCGUGAACCAUCGAGUCUUUGAACGCAAGUUGCGCCCGAAGCCAUUAGGCCGAGGGCACGCCUGCCUGGGCGUCACACGUCGUUGCCCCCCAUCUACUCCUUCGGGAUUGCGGGGGGCGGAUGAUGGCCUCCCGUGCGCCUCGUCGCGCGGUUGGCAUAAAUGCCAAGUCCUCGGCGACGCACGCCACGACAAUCGGUGGUUGCGAAACCUCGGUUGCCUGUCGUGUGCGGUCGUCGCGCAUCGAGGGCUCGAAAAAAUUGCCGGGCUUCGGCUCGACUUUCAACGCGACCCCAGGUCAGGCGGGGUUACCCGCUGAAUUUAAGCAUAUCAAUAAGCGGAGGA